rnacentral:rRNA from 1 species
UACGUAGGGUGCAAGCGUUGUCCGGAAUUUAUUGGGCGUAAAGAGCUCGUAGGCGGCUUGUCACGUCGGAUGUGAAAGCCCGGGGCUUAACCCCGGGUCUGCAGUGGGUACGGGCAGACUAGAGUGCGGUAGGGGAGACUGGAAUUCCUGGUGUAGCGGUGAAAUGCGCAGAUAUCAGGAGGAACACCGAUGGCGAAGGCAGUUCUCUGGGCCGUAACUGACGCUGAGGAGCGAAAGCGUGGGGAGCGAACAGG